rnacentral:rRNA from 1 species
AUUGAACGCUGGCGGCAUGCCUUACACAUGCAAGUCGAACGGUAACAGGUCUUCGGGUGCUGACGAGUGGCGAACGGGUGAGUAAUGCAUCGGAACGUGCCCAGUAGUGGGGGAUAGCCCGGCGAAAGCCGGAUUAAUACCGCAUACGACCUGAGGGUGAAAGGGGGGGAUCGCAAGACCUCUCGCUAUUGGAGCGGCCGAUGUCAGAUUAGCUAGUUGGUGGGGUAAAGGCCUACCAAGGCAACGAUCUGUGGUUGGUCUGAGAGGACGACCAGCCACACUGGGACUGAGACACGGCCCAGACUCCUACGGGAGGCAGCAGUGGGGAAUUUUGGACAAUGGGCGCAAGCCUGAUCCAGCCAUGCCGCGUGUCUGAAGAAGGCCUUCGGGUUGUAAAGGACUUUUGUCCGGGAGCAAAUGCUGGUGGCUAACAUCCACCGGAGCUGAGAGUACCGGAAGAAUAAGCACCGGCUAACUACGUGCCAGCCGCCGCGGUAAGAC